rnacentral:rRNA from 1 species
CCAAUAGCGUAUAUUAAGGUUGCUGCGGUUAAAAAGCUCGUAGUUGAAUUUCGGGAUUGAUGCAUCGGUCGUGCCUUAAGGGGUAUGAACUGGUGUAACCAAUUUCUUACCUUCUGGUGAAUUGUGAUGUCCUCCUUAAUUGGGUGUUUCAAUGAACUAGGACUUUUUACUUUGAAAAAAUUAGAGUGUUUAAAGCAGGC